UCUGCUAAUAUAAUGUACUGAAUAACUAACCAAGGCUGCUCAAAUUUGAACUACGCGUUUGCUUUUUAUAGCCUUGCAAAGUUGUCCUCUUUAUAAAAUGAACAGUCCUUAUUGUGCGGCCGCUCUUGGAAUUUGUUGUGACUAUUGCCGCCAUUCCCUUAAGUCAGUCUCAUUUUUUUGCUUUCUGUUCAAGAACCAUUUUUAACUCACCGGGCAUAGAAAACACCCUGCUUUUAGCUGCUCAUCAAAGGCCCUUCUAUCCAGAAAGUUUCAACCCAACGGCAUCCAGCAGCAGAACUCGCGGAGCGCAGCUGUCUGCAGUGUGGGUGUUUAACGAGAGAAUCAUCCUGCUGCCGUUCCAUUUCAUCCGCCGGGAGAUUCCGUAGUAUAUAGAGCUCCGCAAUCCACAUAACUAUCAGGCCACACGUCUUACUAACGGAUUACCGGAAGAAUCUCAGAAAAAUGUUACGAUCCAGGAACGCCAACCAACCCCACACACUCGAAGACCUCUUUCCGUCCUGCCGGCGUACCCGCCCUUCGGAACUAUCCGUAACCCAACCCAAGAGUGAGAUUUAUUGCAUGACCGAUGUGGAAUUCCCCUUUGAAGUAUCGUGAUGAUCAUCCUGAUGGAAGCUACUGUUUUCUUUAUGUACAUUUAGUUGCUAAAUCCGUCAUUUCUAAAUAAACUUGAUCAUUAGUUUUAUUUUUCA